rnacentral:lncRNA from 1 species
AAUGCAUCUCAUCUUCAAUGUUGUUUUUACAAAAAACUACAUAGUCUAGUUUCUCUUGGAAUUGCAAAAAAGCUUCCAUAUUCUAAAGAUUCAUGACUACUAAGUCUUAUUUUGGUAAUACAUGUCUUAUAAAUAACUGGUCCGACACCACAGUUAUUUCGUAGUGCAUUUCUUCAAGAUAAUAAAUGAAAAUUUAAGAAAAUCCCACCUUUCUGAAUGAUAUUUUUACAGUGUGUUGUAUUACUUUAGGGACAAAUUAUAUCAAAAUUAUAGAAAACGUCAUCGGAUCUAACACAAAAAAUGGAUAAAUUUAUGUUAAGGGGGUCAUGAAAUCGUCUGACAGCUUCCGAAAUGCUAAUUUUUACUUUUUUUAGCUGCACCAAAUCGAAAAUUUGGCAUGAAAUGGUUUCCCCUCGAUGUUUCAUAAAUUUUUCAUUAGCACCUUUUAAUUUCACAAACUAUGAAGAAAUAAGCAAACAAUAA